GGGUUGUGAGGUUAAGCGACUAAGCGUACACGGUGGAUGCCCUGGCAGUCAGAGGCGAUGAAGGACGUGCUAAUCUGCGAUAAGCGUCGGUAAGGUGAUAUGAACCGUUAUAACCGGCGAUUUCCGAAUGGGGAAACCCAGUGUGAUUCGUCACACUAUCAUUAACUGAAUCCAUAGGUUAAUGAGGCGAACCGGGGGAACUGAAACAUCUAAGUACCCCGAGGAAAAGAAAUCAACCGAGAUUCCCCCAGUAGCGGCGAGCGAACGGGGAGCAGCCCAGAGCCUGAAUCAGUGUGUGUGUUAGUGGAAGCGUCUGGAAAGGCGCGCGAUACAGGGUGACAGCCCCGUACACAAAAAUGCACAUGCUGUGAGCUCGAUGAGUAGGGCGGGACACGUGGUAUCCUGUCUGAAUAUGGGGGGACCAUCCUCCAAGGCUAAAUACUCCUGACUGACCGAUAGUGAACCAGUACCGUGAGGGAAAGGCGAAAAGAACCCCGGCGAGGGGAGUGAAAAAGAACCUGAAACCGUGUACGUACAAGCAGUGGGAGCCUCUUUUAUGGGGUGACUGCGUACCUUUUGUAUAAUGGGUCAGCGACUUAUAUUCUGUAGCAAGGUUAACCGAAUAGGGGAGCCGAAGGGAAACCGAGUCUUAACUGGGCGUUAAGUUGCAGGGUAUAGACCCGAAACCCGGUGAUCUAGCCAUGGGCAGGUUGAAGGUUGGGUAACACUAACUGGAGGACCGAACCGACUAAUGUUGAAAAAUUAGCGGAUGACUUGUGGCUGGGGGUGAAAGGCCAAUCAAACCGGGAGAUAGCUGGUUCUCCCCGAAAGCUAUUUAGGUAGCGCCUCGUGAAUUCAUCUCCGGGGGUAGAGCACUGUUUCGGCAAGGGGGUCAUCCCGACUUACCAACCCGAUGCAAACUGCGAAUACCGGAGAAUGUUAUCACGGGAGACACACGGCGGGUGCUAACGUCCGUCGUGAAGAGGGAAACAACCCAGACCGCCAGCUAAGGUCCCAAAGUCAUGGUUAAGUGGGAAACGAUGUGGGAAGGCCCAGACAGCCAGGAUGUUGGCUUAGAAGCAGCCAUCAUUUAAAGAAAGCGUAAUAGCUCACUGGUCGAGUCGGCCUGCGCGGAAGAUGUAACGGGGCUAAACCAUGCACCGAAGCUGCGGCAGCGACACUGUGUGUUGUUGGGUAGGGGAGCGUUCUGUAAGCCUGUGAAGGUGUACUGUGAGGUAUGCUGGAGGUAUCAGAAGUGCGAAUGCUGACAUAAGUAACGAUAAAGCGGGUGAAAAGCCCGCUCGCCGGAAGACCAAGGGUUCCUGUCCAACGUUAAUCGGGGCAGGGUGAGUCGACCCCUAAGGCGAGGCCGAAAGGCGUAGUCGAUGGGAAACAGGUUAAUAUUCCUGUACUUGGUGUUACUGCGAAGGGGGGACGGAGAAGGCUAUGUUGGCCGGGCGACGGUUGUCCCGGUUUAAGCGUGUAGGCUGGUUUUCCAGGCAAAUCCGGAAAAUCAAGGCUGAGGCGUGAUGACGAGGCACUACGGUGCUGAAGCAACAAAUGCCCUGCUUCCAGGAAAAGCCUCUAAGCAUCAGGUAACAUCAAAUCGUACCCCAAACCGACACAGGUGGUCAGGUAGAGAAUACCAAGGCGCUUGAGAGAACUCGGGUGAAGGAACUAGGCAAAAUGGUGCCGUAACUUCGGGAGAAGGCACGCUGAUAUGUAGGUGAAGUCCCUCGCGGAUGGAGCUGAAAUCAGUCGAAGAUACCAGCUGGCUGCAACUGUUUAUUAAAAACACAGCACUGUGCAAACACGAAAGUGGACGUAUACGGUGUGACGCCUGCCCGGUGCCGGAAGGUUAAUUGAUGGGGUCAGCGCAAGCGAAGCUCUUGAUCGAAGCCCCGGUAAACGGCGGCCGUAACUAUAACGGUCCUAAGGUAGCGAAAUUCCUUGUCGGGUAAGUUCCGACCUGCACGAAUGGCGUAAUGAUGGCCAGGCUGUCUCCACCCGAGACUCAGUGAAAUUGAACUCGCUGUGAAGAUGCAGUGUACCCGCGGCAAGACGGAAAGACCCCGUGAACCUUUACUAUAGCUUGACACUGAACAUUGAGCCUUGAUGUGUAGGAUAGGUGGGAGGCUUAGAAGUGUGGACGCCAGUCUGCAUGGAGCCGACCUUGAAAUACCACCCUUUAAUGUUUGAUGUUCUAACGUGGACCCGUGAUCCGGGUUGCGGACAGUGUCUGGUGGGUAGUUUGACUGGGGCGGUCUCCUCCUAAAGAGUAACGGAGGAGCACGAAGGUUGGCUAAUCCUGGUCGGACAUCAGGAGGUUAGUGCAAUGGCAUAAGCCAGCUUGACUGCGAGCGUGACGGCGCGAGCAGGUGCGAAAGCAGGUCAUAGUGAUCCGGUGGUUCUGAAUGGAAGGGCCAUCGCUCAACGGAUAAAAGGUACUCCGGGGAUAACAGGCUGAUACCGCCCAAGAGUUCAUAUCGACGGCGGUGUUUGGCACCUCGAUGUCGGCUCAUCACAUCCUGGGGCUGAAGUAGGUCCCAAGGGUAUGGCUGUUCGCCAUUUAAAGUGGUACGCGAGCUGGGUUUAGAACGUCGUGAGACAGUUCGGUCCCUAUCUGCCGUGGGCGCUGGAGAACUGAGGGGGGCUGCUCCUAGUACGAGAGGACCGGAGUGGACGCAUCACUGGUGUUCGGGUUGUCAUGCCAAUGGCACUGCCCGGUAGCUAAAUGCGGAAGAGAUAAGUGCUGAAAGCAUCUAAGCACGAAACUUGCCCCGAGAUGAGUUCUCCCUGACUCCUUGAGAGUCCUGAAGGAACGUUGAAGACGACGACGUUGAUAGGCCGGGUGUGUAAGCGCAGCGAUGCGUUGAGCUAACCGGUACUAAUGAACCGUGAGGCUUAACCUUACAACGCCGAAGCUGUU
rnacentral:rRNA from 1 species